AAGUCGUAACAAGGUUUCCGUAGGUGAACCUGCGGAAGGAUCAUUAACGCGUAUCCAACGUUAAACCCCCGUGAACUUUUAUUGCGAACCACGCCUUUGUUAAAAAGUAGCAACCUGGUAAAUCAUCGCCGAACAGUUUUGAUUCAUGGAUCUCUGCAGUGUCUGACAGUGUCACUAGCUCUGUACGAAUGGCGCAGUCACGAUCGCUGGGGCAUACCCCCUAUCACCUUUGCAUGAAAACGGGCCUGCGCUCAAUUGUGCGGCUACCAAACUCGAACAACUGUUAACAAUGGAUAUCUUGGUUCUCGC
rnacentral:misc_RNA from 1 species